UACGGAGGGUGCUAGCGUUGUUCGGAAUUACGGGGCGUAAAGGGCGCGUAGGCGGCCGUUUGCGUCGGAUGUGAAAGCCCGGGGCUCAACCUCGGAACGGCAUUCGAUACGGGACGGCUGGAGACCGGGAGAGGAGAGUGGAAUAGCCAGUGUAGAGGUGAAAUUCGUAGAUAUUGGCUGGAACACCGGUGGCGAAAGCGGCUCUCUGGCCCGGUUCUGACGCUGAGGCGCGAAAGCGUGGGGAGCAAACAGG
rnacentral:rRNA from 1 species